rnacentral:misc_RNA from 1 species
GAUGAAGAACGUAGCGAAAUGCGAUAAGUAAUGUGAAUUGCAGAAUUCAGUGAAUCAUCGAAUCUUUGAACGCACAUUGCGCCCAUUAGUAUUCUAGUGGGCAUGCCUGUUCGGGCGUCAUUAAGUCCACUUAAGCCCUGCUUAGUGUUGGGAGACUGCUCCAGCGGUGCUACCCUGUAGCUACCCUGCAGCUCCUCAAAGACAGCGGCGGAGUUGUGGUAUCCUCUGAGCUUAGUAACUUGUUCUAGCUUUCGAGUACACCACUUCCCCUGCCGUAAAACCCUUAAUUUUUAAUGGUUGACCUCGGAUCAGGUAGGAAUACCCGCUGAACUUAAGCAUAUCAAUAAGCGGAGGA